AAGAUGGCAAGCUAUAAUCAAGAAACAACAAAUCUUUUAGCAAUGUGGCUGAACGAGGCAAUCGAAGAAAACCCCCGUGUUCAGCCAUUACCUGGUCAACAAGGCAGCGAUUUCAUAGCAAUCGAAGAAAACCCUCGUAAUGGCCAAGAAUUGGCCGGUCGACAAAGCAACG